rnacentral:antisense_RNA from 1 species
UGUAUAAACUUUUAUAUGAAAGAAGUAGAGUUGAAAUCGCUUAUUUUUAAAGAUUUUGGAUAGGAUGCAGAUAAAUGAAAAACCCACUCAAAGUGGGCUUUCUUAAAUUUGGUGGGUCCGGGCGAACUCGAAUCGCCGACCCCUACCA